GACCUGAUGGCGCAGUGGCAAGCGUAUCCCACUUGACUUUUGUUGCAGGGAAGACUCCUGUUCGAUUCAGGAUCGGGUCG